GCAUCGAUGAAGAACGCAGCGAAAUGCGAUAAGUAAUGUGAAUUGCAGAAUUCAGUGAAUCAUCGAAUCUUUGAACGCACAUUGCGCCCCCUGGUAUUCCGGGGGGCAUGCCUGUUCGAGCGUCAUUU
rnacentral:rRNA from 1 species